rnacentral:lncRNA from 1 species
AUCAAGGUGCCAGCAUCUGGUGAGGGCCUCCAUGCUGUGUCAUCCCAUGGCCAAAGGUGGAAGGGCAAGAGGGCACAAGACAGCAAGGCCCAGGUGCCUGUAGACCGCUUCUUGGUGGCAGGGAGCCACUGCUGUGUCACAGUGGAAGUGACAGCAGUGACAGGGACCUAGUCUGAUCCACUGGGAUGCAGAUGGAUGGUAGCAUGCUGCAUUAGAAGAGGACACAGAUGCCCCUGCAACUGGAGUCUCCCCAGUCCACCUCCUGGGGAGCCUGAGGCCACUGCUGUUCAUUCCCCAGUGGCUGCUGUCAGCCGGCACGCCCAGCCCCAUCUGGCUCGAGAACUGUCAAAGAUCUCCUACAUCGCACGCCAGCUGAACACGGCCUGCAGACUGAACGUACUGUCCCACACACUUGCACUGCCAUUUUUCAGAUGUCUAAA